CCCUUAGAUGUUCUGGGCCGCACACGCGCUACACUGAAGGAGGCAGCGUGUACUCCUGGAUCGAAAGAUUUGGGUAACCCGCGAAUCUCCUUCGUGCUAGGGAUUGAGGUUUGCAAUUAUCCUUCAUGAACGAGGAAUUCCCAGUAAGUGCAAGUCAUAAGCUUGCGCUGACUACGUCCCUGCCCUUUGUACACACCGCCCGUCGCUCCUACCGAUUGAGCGGUCCGGUGAAUAGUUCGGACUGCGCCUCGUGCAUCUGUGCUUGGCGCGGAAAGUUCAGUAAACCUUAUCGCUUAGAGGAAGGAGAAGUCGUANCA
rnacentral:rRNA from 1 species